rnacentral:rRNA from 1 species
AUUGAACGCUGGCGGCAUGCCUAACACAUGCAAGUCGAACGGCAGCAUGAAUAGGGGUAACCUUAUUUGAUGGCGAGUGGCGGACGGGUGAGUAAUAUGUAGGAAUCUACCUAGAGGAGGGGGAUAACUUGGGGAAACCCAAGCUAAUACCACAUAAGCCCUACGGGGGAAAGCAGGGGACCGCAAGGCCUUGCGCCUUAUGAUGAGCCUACAUCGGAUUAGCUAGCUGGUGGGGUAAAGGCCUACCAAGGCGACGAUCCGUAGCUGGUCUGAGAGGAGGAUCAGCCACACGGGGACUGAGACACGGCCCAGACUCCUACGGGAGGCAGCAGUGGGGAAUAUUGGACAAUGGGCGAAAGCCUGAUCCAGCAAUGCAGCGUGUGUGAAGAAGGCCUUAGGGUUGUAAAGCACUUUCAGUAGGGAGGAAGGGUGUAACGCUAAUAUCGUUGCACAUUGACGUUACCUACAGAAGAAGCACCGGCUAACUCUGUGCCAGCAGCCGCCGUAA